rnacentral:rRNA from 1 species
AUUGAACGCUGGCGGCAGGCCUAACACAUGCAAGUCGAACGAGUGGCGGACGGGUGAGUAAUGUCUGGGAAACUGCCCGAUGGGGGGGGAUAACUACUGGAAACUGUAGGUAAUACCGCAUACCCUCAGAUUUGCCCAGAUGGGAUUAUCUAGUUGGUGGGGUAACGGCUCACAAGGGCGACGAUCCCUAGCUGGUCUGAGAGGAUGACCAGCCACACUGGAACGGGGACACGGUCCAGACUCCUACGGGAGGCAGCAGUGGGGAAUAUUGCACAAUGGGGGCAAGCCGGAUGCAGCCAUGCCGCGUGUAUGAAGAAGGCCUUCGGGUUGUAAAGUACUUUCAGCGGGGAGGCGUUACCCGCAGAAGAAGCACCGGCUAACUCCGUGCCAGCCGCCGCGGUAAUUC